rnacentral:misc_RNA from 1 species
GGAAGAUGUGUUCUAAAGAUGGACCAUCAUUGCGUGUGGGUUGUCAAUUGUGUUGGAGCGCUAAACUACAAGUAUUUCCUUCUUUUUCUGUUCUACACGUUCCUUGAGACUACUCUUGUGACUCUAGCAUUACUGCCACAGUUUAUUGCAUUCUUCAGUGAUGGGGAGAUACCUGGGACUCCGGGCACUCUUGCUACCACGUUCCUUGCAUUUGUCUUCAAUCUUGCUUUUGC